rnacentral:rRNA from 1 species
ACGGGGUGCAGCAGGCGCGAAAACUGGCCAAUGCGCGAAAGCGUGAGCCGGCUAGUCCGAGUGAUAGCCCAUCGGCUAUCUUUUGUUAAGUGUACAAAGCUUGGCGAAUAAUGAGAGGGCAAGACUGGUGCCAGCCGCCGCGGUAAAACCAGCUCUUAGAGUGGUGAUCAUGUUUAUUUGGCUUAAAGUGUGCGUAGCAGGACAGCGUAAGUCCCCCUGUGAAAUGCUGAGUCUUAAGCUCAGCGCGUGCCGGGGAUACUGUGCGUCUUGGGACCGGGAUAGGUGUAAUGUACGCGUUGGGUAGGGGUGAAAUCCGAUAAUCCAACGCGGACAACCGGUGGCGAAGGCGUUACACUGGAACGGGUCCGACUGUGAGGCACGAAAGCUAGGGUCGCGAGCCGGAUUAGAUACCCGGGUAGUCCUAUGCUGUAAACGAUGCUCACUAAGUGUUAGGUAAUGCAAGACAUUAUCUAGUGCCGAAGCGAAAGCGUUAAGUGAGCCGCCUGGAAGUACGUUCGCAAGAA